UGUGAACGACUGACCGGGUUUCUCUGCAGCUCUCUCUGCCUUCCGGGGCUUGGCCUGCCCCAGGCUGUCUAGAGACCGACCUGACAGGAAGUAAUGGCCCCAGAACGGCUGUAAACUGGGGGGAGCACCUAGGUCAGCCUCUAAAGCGGCACUGAAAGAGGAAGAUGAAUUUCUGUCAUUGCUGUGCCCAGACGCAGCCUGCACGGAGAGAGCAAAAAAAUCGCCCGUGCUCAGAAAGAAUGUUUGAAGCAGGUAGAUUUGGAUAACUUCUAUCUUAGAUAGAAUUUGCUUAGCAUGAGUAGCCGCACACUUGCUUAGCAUGAGUAGCUAAAUUUGCUGAAGCCUUAGGCCACGCUCCUAGUUCAGUAAGAAAGGGCCCCAGAGCUGGUGCAGGCUGGAAAGAUAAGGGAGUUACAAGCAGUCUGCAGUCCUGUGCCCCACUCUCCGAAAGGGAGGAUGUCAAGGCUGUGAAAUAAGGCCUGUUUGGGUGCCAGGACCUUGGGAAGCAAAGCCUCCUCUCACUGUUGAAACAGUGUUAAUUAAGGGGUCUGGAUUAUGUCCUCUUCGUCAGGACCUUGGGAGAUAACGUCUACUGACCUAGCUGGGGCAGUGUUAAUUGAUCAGGACCUUGAGAAGCAGGGGUGGGACCCAGGGAAUGAAGAAAUCACUAACCAAUCAGUGUACAAGGGAAAGUCGCAAAUCUGGCAAUUUGUUUGUAUAAAUGCUACCUGAAAAGUUGGGGGGUGUGCUCGAUUUGUGGGAAACCACCGAGCACCCAGGCUUGCGCAACUCUGAAAUAAAUAAGCAAAUGUCUCUCCUGAGUGUGUAAUUAUUGGCUUAUUGCACACCGGGCAACAAAUCCGCUUUUCGGACAACAGUUUUCUGGCACCCCAGAUGGGACCCUCGCUGUAAAGCCUUGCCCGGAUCGUCUUGCCAGUUCCCGGCGGGGAGACGCUGCUCAUCGGACUCCAGCGCGCACCGACCGUUUUGUUCGGGGACUCUGUGAGCACCCUCCCCGGUCGGAACAGGUACAUCCAGUUAAGAUCUCCCGUACUUUUAGAUUCACCUGUACAUUCAUUCCAGCCGGGAGAUCAAGUAUAUCUUCGGACCUGGAAGGAUGAGCCGUUGGUAGAAAAGUGGAGAGGAUCAUAUCUUGUACUGCUAACAACAAAUACUGCUGUGAAACUGCAGGGAAUUGAUUCCUGGAUCCACUACACCCGAGUGAAAGCAGUACCUCGAGAGAUGUGGAAAGCUGAACAAGUUCAACCUUUAAAGUUAAAAAUACAUAAAGAUAUAUGAGUUGUAUUAGAAGUGAAUCAUUUUUAAAUUUAGAUUGUAUUCAGGGAAAAAUUGCUUUAAUCUGUUUGUUAGGAAUAGGGUUAAUAUUGUUGUUACGGUAUCUGUGUAAAAAUGAUGUUCUCCUUAAUAACCAGGGGAGAAAUGUGGUGGUUAGCUUUUCUAGGUUACCUGAGCCAAACAAUUAAAGGGAAUCAGGAAGGAUUUUGGAGUCACAAUCUUCAUUUGGAAGUAAUUACGAAAUCUAUGAAGAUAGUUAACCAGAGGGAUUGCUGGGUGUGUACCCACUUCCCUGAACAUUCCAACAAGGGCUUCCCCCUAAUUGGAGUGCCUCUUAAUUUUUCCUUUAUGGAAUUUGUGAAACAGAUAAGAAAUGAUAGUGAUCAAACAAAAUAUGAUGAAACAACCGAACAGGAAUGGGAAGUCCAGAGUGUGACAGGAGAUUAUUAUCAAUGUAUCCGAAGAUGUAAUAAUAGUAAUAGAUGGUGGGAGAAAACUGUACUUUAUGGAAAGCAACCGAUCAACUGUACUGGAGCCAUUAAGGUAGGAGGUUAUAAAGAUUGCUCCCAGAUACCUGAAAUAGGUUAUAAGUGGCCAAGUAAGGAACUAAAUGGGUGGCGUGUUCCGAAAGGUAGUGGAUGGUAUUGGUUGUGUGGAAACAAGGCACGAAAAGUGCUACCUCCUAAUUGGUCAGGGACAUGUACUUUAGGGGCAAUAAUCCCUAAUGUUACUAUAAGAAAAGAAUUGAGUAAUAAAUAUCAAAAAUCCUGGCUAAGAACAUUCAUGAGGAGACAAAAGAGGGUCAAUAAUCCUUUAAUAGAUCGACCUACUAGGUUUCAGUCAUUCGUAAGGUGGCUGUUUCCACAAUUUGAAAAAGCAAUAGUAAAUAUUUCAGCAGUUAUUGAAAAAAUAGGGAAUAAAACCUCUGAUGCCACUGCAGCUUUACAAGAGGAGGUUUCAGAAAUUGCUAAAAUAACUACCCAAAACAGGAUGGCUCUAGAUAUGUUAUUGGCAUCUCAAGGAGGAGUAUGUACAGUAAUAAAUACUAGUUGCUGUGUAUAUGUGGAUCAAAGCGGGAGAAUUUCUACCGAUCUAAAUGAAAUCUGGAAGCAGACUGAAAUCUUACAUGGGGUUCAGAAAGAUGAUACUUCUUUCGGAUUUGAAGAAACAUGGAAAUGGUUGACUUCCUGGUUCCCUGACGUGAGCUCAUGGGUUAAAAAAUGUUUAACAAUUUUGGGAAUGGUGUUAGUAGUUUUUGUAUGCGUUUAUGUAGUGAUUCAAUGCAUUUCUAAGUGUUAUACAAAAUUAAUAUGGGAAAGAUUUUAAAAGAGUGAGACUAAUAUGAAAAUGAUCAUAUAAGUCUCAAAGGGGGGAAUUGUUACAAGACAACCCUGAGAAGCUCAGAAAGAAUGUUUGAAGCAGGUAGAUUUGGAUAACUUCUAUCUUAGAUAGAAUUUGCUUAGCAUGAGUAGCCGCACACUUGCUUAGCAUGAGUAGCUAAAUUUGCUGAAGCCUUAGGCCACACUCCUAGUUCAGUAAGAAAGGGCCCCAGAGCUGGUGCAGGCUGGAAAGAUAAGGGAGUUACAAGCAGUCUGCAUUCCUGUGCCCCACUCUCCGAAAGGGAGGAUGUCAAGGCUGUGAAAUAAGGCCUGUUUGGGUGCCAGGACCUUGGGAAGCAAAGCCUCCUCUCACUGUUGAAACAGUGUUAAUUAAGGGGUCUGGAUUAUGUCCUCUUCGUCAGGACCCUGGGAGAUAACGUCUACUGACCUAGCUGGGGCAGUGUUAAUUGAUCAGGACCUUGAGAAGCAGGGGUGGGACCCAGGGAAUGAAGAAAUCACUAACCAAUCAGUGUACAAGGGAAAGUCGCAAAUCUGGCAAUUUGUUUGUAUAAAUGCUACCUGAAAAGUUGGGGGGGUGUGCUCGAUUUGUGGGAAACCACCGAGCACCCAGGCUUGCGCAACUCUGAAAUAAAUAAGCAAAUGUCUCUCCUGA